CUGAUUGUGCUGCAGCUCAUAUAAGGGUGCUCUCUGCCUGCAAGAGGUCCCUACUCAUUGGACAGAAGAAGACGAAGAUGAAAGCCUGCAGACCCAUAAACUGGAGGAGCAGCUCUUCAUAAGUGCUCUCUACCUUUAGCCACUGCGAGAUUCAUGAGACUUGCAGCUUUAAUCAGACGGACGGAUCUUCAUUCUUUAUAAGAUGAGAGAAGUUGACUCUUAUUGUUUUGCGCUGGUUCCUCAAACCAAAUCAAUACACUAUUGACGGAUGCCGUGAUCCAAGAAUUCAUUUUGUGCUCCUAGUCCAGUUUACAUCAACAAGAUGAUGCUGACGAGAGUGGAGGACUGCCUCCUGGAUCUGGGAGUUCUUUUGGAGAAGUAGAAGCUGUUGAGUAUGCCUCUGACAUAUGGAUGAAGAAAUGCGUCUGCAUUCAGACUAAGUAUGUACACUUAUUCAGGUUCACUCACUUCUAGGCACUGAAAUGUGUUGACUUUCAUCAACAACCUGCUAUUCAAAAAC